AGGAUUUUAAGUAGAAGCUCGUCGCUUAAGAGAAGUGUACGGUCGAUUUUGGAGAAUUUGGGGAUUAGGGUUUGGGUUUUGGUUUUGGAUUCUUUGUUUGGAGUGGGGCUAGAGAGAGACUGGAGUUGCAUAGCAAAGAUGACAUGUUUUAAGGGUUUAGUAUUCUUGAGCCAGAGGUCUGACCAGCUUGGUGACCUCUUCUUCAAUGGUUGGUUAGCGUCUGUGAUUGGUUCCUCUGCUGAAAAUGACAUUGUGAUCUUGAGGAGACAGUGGUGGCGCUGCUGCUGCUGCUCUGUUUUAGCUCUGCUUCCAGUGGACAGAGCAGAUAUCCAUCCUCUGUUUCUCUCUCUACAGUAUUUUCUCAGCUAAAUGCCUAAAUCCCUCUCUCUACCAGCUGUGACUACUAACAGGAAUCGCAUUUCUGUCUGAAGAAACUAAGUUGGAUGUUUCCUCUUGGUUUUCUUUGAGCU
rnacentral:misc_RNA from 1 species